rnacentral:rRNA from 1 species
AGCAGCCGCGGUAAUUCCAGCUCCAAUAGCGUAUAUUAAAGUUGUUGCAGUUAAAAAGCUCGUAGUUGAAUUUCGGGGUCAAUAAGUUGGUCGUGCCAAUGGUAUGUACUGGCUUUAUUGAUUCCUACCUCUUGACGAACUGUGAUGCCAUUAAUUUGGUGUUGCAGGAAAUCAGGACUGUUACCUUGAAAAAAUUAGAGUGUUUAAAGCAGGCUUACGCUUGAAUACAUUAGCAUGGAAUAAUGAAAUAGGACGUUUGAACCUAUUUUGUUGGUUUCUAGGAUCGACGUAAUGAUUAAUAGGGAUAGUUGGGGGCAUUAGUAUUCAAUUGUCAGAGGUGAAAUUCUUGGAUUUAUUGAAGACUAACUACUGCGAAAGCAUUUGCCAAGGAUGUUUUCAUUAAUCAAGAACGAAAGUUAGGGGAUCGAAGACGAUCAGAUACCGUCGUAGUCUUAACCAUAAACUAUGCCGACUAGGGAUCGGAUGAUGUUAAUUUUUAAUUAGUACUCAU